GGGGAUUAGAGACAAUAAACUCAUAAAGGGACUCAACAUCGGCACACACGAAUAUAAGAUCACAACCUUCACAGAUGACCUCCUCUUUAACAUCUCAAAACCGACCACUACAAUACCUUCAAUCCUGUCGGAAAUGCAGACAUACAGUAAAGUCUCCAACUUCCAAGCCAAUGUAUCAAAAUGUGACCUUCUACCAAUCUACACAACAAAAUCCCUUGAC